rnacentral:rRNA from 1 species
UCCGUAGGGUGCGAGCGUUGCCCGGAUUUAUUGGGCGUAAAGGGCGCGUAGGCGGUGAGAUGCGUCUGUUGUGAAAUCGCUCGGCUCAACUGGGCGGGGUCAGCGGAUACGGUCUCACUUGAGCAAGCUAGGGGGCAAUGGAAUUCCCGGUGUAGUGGUGGAAUGCGUAGAUAUCGGGAGGAACACCAGUGGCGAAGGCGGUUGCCUGGGGCUUUUUGCUGACG